rnacentral:rRNA from 1 species
UACAGAGGGGGCAAGCGUUAUUCGGAAUUAUUGGGCGUAAAGGGCGCGUAGGCGGCUUGGCAAGUGGAUGGUGAAAUCCCUCGGCUUAACCGAGGAACUGCCGUCCAAACUGCUUUGCUUGAGACCGGGAGAGGUGAGUGGAAUUCCCAGUGUAGCGGUGAAAUGCGUAGAUAUUGGGAGGAACACCAGUGGCGAAGGCGGCUCACUGGACCGGUACUGACGCUGAUGCGCGAAAGCCAGGGGAGCAAACGGG